rnacentral:rRNA from 1 species
GAUGAACGCUAGCUACAGGCUUAACACAUGCAAGUCGAGGGGAAACGAUAUUGGAAGCUUGCUUCCGAUAGGCGUCGACCGGCGCACGGGUGAGUAACGCGUAUCCAACCUGCCCACCACUUGGGGAUAACCUUGCGAAAGUAAGACUAAUACCCGAUGAUAUCUCUAGAAGACAUCUGAAAGGGAUUAAAGAUUUAUCGGUGAUGGAUGGGGAUGCGUCUGAUUAGCUUGUUGGCGGGGUAACGGCCCACCAAGGCAACGAUCAGUAGGGGUUCUGAGAGGAAGGUCCCCCACAUUGGAACUGAGACACGGUCCAAACUCCUACGGGAGGCAGCAGUGAGGAAUAUUGGUCAAUGGGCGAGAGCCUGAACCAGCCAAGUCGCGUGAGGGAUGACGGUCCUACGGAUUGUAAACCUCUUUUUGUCGGGGAACAACAGGGGGCACGUGUGCCUUUGUGAGUGUACCCGAGAAAAAGCAUCGGCUAACUCCGUG